CACGUAGGGCGCAAGCGUUGUCCGGAAUUAUUGGGCGUAAAGAGCUCGUAGGCGGUCUGUUGCGUCCGCUGUGAAAACUCGGGGCUUAACCCCGAGCCUGCAGUGGAUACGGGCAGACUAGAGGUAGGUAGGGGAGAAUGGAAUUCCCGGUGUAGCGGUGAAAUGCGUAGAUAUCGAGAGGAACACCUGCGGCGAAGGCGGGUUGCUGGGCCGACACUGACGCUGAGGCGCGAAAGCCAGGGGAGCGAACGGG
rnacentral:rRNA from 1 species